rnacentral:rRNA from 1 species
UACGUAGGGCGCAAGCGUUGUCCGGAAUUAUUGAGCGUAAAGAGCUCGUAGGCGGUUUGUCGCGUCGGGAGUGAAAACGCCGGGCUUAACUCGGUGCUUGCUUUCGAUACGGGCAGACUAGAGGCAUGCAGGGGAGAACGGAAUUCCUGGUGUAGCGGUGAAAUGCGCAGAUAUCAGGAGGAACACCGGUGGCGAAGGCGGUUCUCUGGGCAUGUCCUGACGCUGAGGAGCGAAAGUGUGGGGAGCGAACAGG